rnacentral:rRNA from 1 species
UCUCCGUAGGUGAACCUGCGGAGGGAUCAUUACACAAAUAUGAAGGCGGGCUGGAACCUCUCGGGGUUACAGCCUUGCUGAAUUAUUCACCCUUGUCUUUUGCGUACUUCUUGUUUCCUUGGUGGGUUCGCCCACCACUAGGACAAACAUAAACCUUUUGUAAUUGCAAUCAGCGUCAGUAACAAAUUAAUAAUUACAACUUUCAACAACGGAUCUCUUGGUUCUGGCAUCGAUGAAGAACGCAGCGAAAUGCGAUAAGUAGUGUGAAUUGCAGAAUUCAGUGAAUCAUCGAAUCUUUGAACGCACAUUGCGCCCUUUGGUAUUCCAAAGGGCAUGCCUGUUCGAGCGUCAUUUGUACCCUCAAGCUUUGCUUGGUGUUGGGCGUCUUGUCUCUAGCUUUGCUGGAGACUCGCCUUAAAGUAAUUGGCAGCCGGCCUACUGGUUUCGGAGCGCAGCACAAGUCGCACUCUCUAUCAGCAAAGGUCUAGCAUCCAUUAAGCCUUUUUUUCAACUUUUGACCUCGGAUCAGGUAGGGAUACCCGCUGAACUUAAGCAUAUCAAUA